CCAAGAUUCAGUUACAAAAAUGCUCUGGCUUCCAUGUUGCUCACCCUUUCUUGCUCUCUCUCACUUGCUCACUCUAAGGAAUGCCAGCUGCCGUACUGUGAGCUACACCAUGAGAGGACCUACGUGACAAGGAACUGAGGGAUCUCACUGGCCAAUAGCCAUGGAGGAAAUGGAGCCUGGCAGCCUACCAGAGAAGAACACCCAAGGAGCUGAACCCUGAACUACCUUGGUCAACCUGACCCUACCAGGGCUUUAUCUUAUCAUCAUACAGACCUGGCUGCUAUUCACUGCCCUAUGGCACUGCCUGAUGAGCUGCGUUGGGACCGCGGCCCUUACAUGGAUUGCUGAGGCCCGUGUGGAAUCUGUUCCUCUCUCUGCGGCUCAUGCUUUUCUGCAGUCCAUGGCGCAUUCAGAACUACCUCUUCUUGUUGCUGUCCCUCGCCUGCAAACCAAUACACUCUAUGCAAGGAAUAAAAGUCAUAACAGGUAUGAUAUGCAUUAAAUUUUGCCUGGACUUUGAGGAUAAUUCACAGGAUUUUUCCAAAAUGACACUUCCUUUUUGUUCAGCAGCUUGAACAUAAAGACAAGACACUCUUUUGCCUGCAAUGCAGCAAUUAUACCAAGUUAUGCUUUGACACUGUUGCCACAGGCAAGUGGCCAAAGAGCAUCCGCAGUCAAAAUAUCUAAGCGACUUAACAAGCUCCCUUUACUCUCCGAAGAGCAGCAGAAGAGAGGGAAUUCAACCCUUGAGAAAUGUUAAAGUGAAGGAGACAAAAGACUGUUGCUGUUUGUUAAUGAAAAUGGUGUCGGUGUCUUGGGCUGAUCAAGGUGUGGAAUCUGGGGCCUGACAGACGUUCAGACCUGUGUUUGACAAAAAGCUUUUCUCCAGUUUAGGCCUGCUUGAUGAUACAGCUAAUGAAUGACUCAUCUGCGAGCCCUUGCCUUGGAACUCCACCUUGCUUUAUGGCUUGGUCACACCAGGUCACCCUCCCAGUCACCUCUCCCACCACUCUAGAGACUAAAUGUAACGCCUCUUGUUUCCACCCCAUUUUUUAAAAUACCACCACAGUUACCUCACAAAAGGCAUCGAAACUAAUUAAGUAUACUCCAAAAACACUAUUACAAAUCAUUUGCUUCAGCCAGAGAUAUCAGAUUUAAUUAGGUGAUCAGUGUUGAUGGGGUACAAAAACAAAAGCCAUUGCUCCUUCAAAAGGUUCGGGUCCCAUAAAGGCCCAGUCUUCCCACUAUGACACAAAUAAUAAUUGGGCAUUUCUAGGGAAAAAAAAGAAAAGAAAGGCAUGAAAAGAGGUUUCUGUGUUAGAGUCAACCCUUCAGCUCUGGUUCAUUUUUCUUUUGCCAGGUGAAUUAAAAACAAAACCUACAGCAUAUACAAAGAAAUAGUAUAGCCUACAUUGAUAUCACCAUGGUACAGACUACACCUGGCCUUUUGAGCGUGAUUUUUUGCAGGCGAUUAAUCAAAAUCUGUUUACCAGUCAUCUUCAACGAUUAUCAACAAACUUGAUGAGUAUCACAAUGAAAAUCUUCUAUUUCUCCGGUAUACAUCAGCUAACAGAUUCUCUUUAGCACACAAAGCAAAUGGUUCAAGUUAAAAUUCAGCUCAAUGGAAGUCUUACUCAUAAGGAAAAUAUUUUUUAAAAGCUGUUAAUUCUCCACAGCCCCACACCCAGCACUUCAUUGUGGUCUACAAUUGGCCCUGCUCUCUGGUCACUCAUUGAAGGUUACUUUUCAUAGAGUGACAAUAGAUGAUAUAGACUGGGGAAAUUGUUUUUACAAACCCUUUCCAUAAAGUGGUUGUUAAUCCCAGAUAGAUAUGUUAAACAUAGAAGUCGGUGGUGUUCUUAAAGAAAGAUGAUUUAUUUUAAAUAUAUGUGUACAUAUAUAUGUAUGUAUGUAUGUAUAUGUGAUAAGAAAUUGAAAACAG